AAAAAUGCUUCCUGGACUUAUGAGGAUAACUGACUUCUUUCCAGGUAACUAUAAAAACCACGUGAACACGGCCCUCAGAGUCUGGAUGCAGAGGCGUGAGGCUGCCUGCGAUCUCAGCAUCUGCUGUUGCUGGCAUCCACUCCCUCUUCGCUCAGCUGGCAGGGACUUGCAGCAUCGAUUGCUCAGGGUGCAGGCAGCAGCCUACAGCAAGGUGUGCCCCUGGUGAGCCACUGCUGAUCUCCUGUAAACAAAGGGCAUCCAAACCCUGCUUUUUGGUUCUCCACGAACCUCGUGCCACAGACAUUCUUCUGGAUCAUGGAACAAUCUUUGAAUUUAAGGAUGCUGCUUUUCCACUUAGAUGCAACAUUAUCAGCUUACCUAGCUUCAUAAUCAUUUCGGACCAACAGGAGAUGCUGCAAGAUAGACAGGAAGUGUGGUUCUGCCUUGGAAUCUUUCAC